UACGUAGGUGCCAAGCGUUGUCCGGAUUUACUGGGCGUAAAGAGCGCGCAGGCGGUCGUUCAAGUCGCGUGUGAAAGCCCCCGGCUCAACUGGGGAGGGUCACGCGAUACUGAUCGACUCGAAGGCAGGAGAGGGAAGUGGAAUUCCCGGUAUAGUGGUGAAAUGCGUAGAUAUCGGGAGGAACACCAGUGGCGAAGGCGACUUCCUGGCCUGUUCUUGACGCUGAGGCGCGAAAGCUAGGGGAGCAAACGGG
rnacentral:rRNA from 1 species